CAGAACAUAGCUUAAUCAAAGUAUUCCGCUUACACCGAACUGAUGCCUGCUAACCCAGACUGCUCUGAG
rnacentral:tRNA from 1 species